rnacentral:rRNA from 1 species
GACGAACGCUGGCGGCGUGCUUAACACAUGCAAGUCGAACGGUGACGAGGAGCUUGCUCCUCCGAUCAGUGGCGAACGGGUGAGUAACACGUGAGCAACCUGCCCCAGACUCUGGGAUAACAGUUGGAAACAGCUGCUAAUACCGGAUACGAGACGGAGAGGCAUCUCUACCGUCUGGAAAGUUUUUCGGUCUGGGAUGGACUCGCGGCCUAUCAGCUAGUUGGUGAGGUAAUGGCUCACCAAGGCGACGACGGGUAGCCGGCCUGAGAGGGCGACCGGCCACACUGGGACUGAGACACGGCCCAGACUCCUACGGGAGGCAGCAGUGGGGAAUAUUGCACAAUGGGCGAAAGCCUGAUGCAGCGACGCCGCGUGAGGGAUGACGGCCUUCGGGUUGUAAACCUCUUUCAGCAGGGAAGAAGCGCAAGUGACGGUACCUGCAGAAGAAGCACCGGCUAACUACGUG